rnacentral:tRNA from 1 species
AGGGGUAUAGCUCAACUGGUAGAGCAGCGGUCUCCAAAACCGCGUGUUGAGAGUUCAAGUCUUUCUGCCCCUGCCA